AUUUUAGUAGUGUAAUGGAUCAGCACGACAGACCGGACAACUGUAAGUGCGGGUUCGAGUUCUGCCUUAGGUU
rnacentral:tRNA from 1 species